UAUAAAGUUCCAUGCAUAGGAUGUGAAGCUCAGUCUUUUGAAUUGGGCCAAUUUUGUUUGCAAGAUUCAUUGAUUUGAAAGAAGUAAAUUUGCUCAUUUUUUUCAUGUCAAAUGGAUUAGGCUUAUAAUUUCAUCCAAGGAAUUUUAAUGAUCUUUUAUAGCCUGGCAACAAGUUCUUGGUGGAUAUUUUCCUUGCUUUGACUAAACAAUUUAAUUAGGGUAAUUUAAAGAACCCCUUGCGUGGUUUGUCAAAGUACAUGAGUUGGUCCCGCAUUUUUUAAAAACUCUCUAAGUGGUCCUUGACAUUAUAUUAUAUUAAACAAUGUAGUCCUUCCUUUAGGUUUUCAAGUUGUUGGAAUUGAUGAGAUUCCAUGUUCCAUUUUAAGGGAAUUGUUAUGGAAAGUCCGUAUAAAUUUUAUCUAUUCCUAAUUAGUAGAUUUUAUGCAUUCCUAGUUUUUAUAGGAUUUAUAUUUUUAAUUAAUGUAGGAUUUAUAUUCCUAAAUAGGUAGGAAUUAUAUUCCUAAUUAAAUAUGUAAUCUUUUAUUAGGAGAUUUGUUUAUAAAUAUGUAGUCUUUUAUUUUGUAGAAUUAAUGAGAAUAAAGAUGUAGCCUUUGAUUUAUUUCUCCUCUUUCUUUUUACUUCUAAUUCUUAAAUUUUGACAUGAUAUCAGAGCAUGGUUUGUUUCUUGUGGGUUUUCUAUCCAGUUUCUAGUUGAUUUUCUCCCCUAUUUUUAAGCCUCCUUGUUGAGAAGCUAAUACAAGGAAUGUUAAUAAACUUGGCCCGAAGGUUGAUCAUAUGAAGGGACCAAGUAAAUGAGUCAGUAGUUCAACUAAUGGAUCAAUGGUUCAACCAGUGCGUCAUUAAAAAUAAAGUAAGUAUAUAUAAAUUAAUUAAAAAUUAAUUAAAUAUAACACCUAUUAAUAUAAAAUAAAUAAAUUAAAUUUUAAUUAUUUAAAAUAAAAAUUUAACAUUUAUUAAGUUAUAUUUAAUAAAUUUUAAUAGUGUUUUAAAUUUUAUAUAAAAGUAUUCAAGUAAUAUAAUGUAUAAAAUUUUUUAUAAAUGUAUAAUUCUCUUUUUAAUAUUUAUGAAAUGUAAAGUAUAUGUUAAAAAAUAAAUAUAUUGAAAUGCCAAAACACAUAACUACCAAACUAGCUCAAUUGAUUUUAAUUUUAAAGAUUUUUUAUGAGAUUUUGAGUUCAAUUCUCUAUACCAACACUAAAAAAGGAAAAAAAGAGUUAAUUGAAUAAUUGAACUGGCCAAGUCAACCAAUCACACUGAUUCAACAUCAGAUCACUUCCUUAUUUUGUUCAAUUAUAAACCUGGACCGGUUUGAGAGCCGGUUCACUCGUUCAAUUGGUCGGUUCGGUGUGAGUUAACUAUGAAUAUAAGAGCCUAAAAUUCUCUACCCUUUGUAGUUUUGAACUUUGUUUGUCCUUACCCCUUGCAACUCUAGGUCACCUAGAAAGGGGUGAGCAUUCGGUUUAAAACGAACCAAAUUAAAUUAUGAAAUCUAAAUUACAUAUUUUAAAAACCGAACCGAAUCGAAAUAGAUGAAAAAAUCGAAUCGAACCGAAUCGCUCUAUUCUGGUUCGGUUCGGUUCAAACCGAUCGGUUUUGAUUUUUGAUUGAUUUUUUAAUUUAGACUUGAUUUUCAAGUUAUUUAGUCUAAUUUUGAUUUUGGUUUGAACCUAAUAACCAUUAAUCAAUGAAAUUAAAUAAUUUAUAUAUAAAAAAUUAAAUAUAAUUAAUAAAUUUCUCAUAAAAAUAAAUUAAUUCAAAAAUCAAUUGGGUUUGAUUUGGUUCGAUUUGAAUAUAUAAAAUUACUAUUCGGUUCAGUUUGGUUUAACCGAUUUUUUUUUCCUUCAAAAGUUUUUCCCAACCGAACCGAAAUAACCGAAAUUUUUAUAACUAAAACCGAACCGAACCGAUUGAAUUUUAAGACUGAAUUGAUUGAACCGGAUUGAUUCAGUUCGGUUCAGUUUUUCGGUUUGAACCAAAAUCUGCUCACCCCUACCUUUCUAGGGUGAUUUCUUUAUCUCACGGCCCACCCAACGAGGACCAUAGACCAUCGGCGACCGCAACCACCAACUUCAUUGAUCGAAGCUAUAGUGCGUGGCCCACAUGAGUAGAAACUGUUUUUCGCCCUAUGCCAUGCACUGGCGAGUGGUGGCAUGUCUGCCAGAGUUUGCAUCACCAACUUCUUCUCUGGACAUUGCCCUGACAUCCUUAGUCUAGAUAUAGGAGCUAUUGUUUGGUCCGAGGUAUUUUCAGAUGCUCUACCUCAGGUUCGGGCAAGGUUUAGUUUUGGGCAACUAGGUUCUAUUUUGAGAACUUUUUUCUUUUUAUUUGAGUUUUCUUUAGUUGGGGUAUUUGCUUUGCUAAGGAUUGGGUACUGGUAUUUGGUGAAAUAUUGGGUAGCUGUUUUAUUGUUAGAGCUGUGGGUUUGCUUUUACUUCUGAGUAUUUUGGGUUCUAAGUGCUCCAGACCUAUUUCUGGAUUUUCUUGGCUCUCUAAUUUGGGUGGUUUAGCAAGUUUUGGCUUUCAAGACUCACUAUCAGAGCUCGCUUUUCAAUUUUGUGGUGAUUGGUCACUACAAUUCUUAAAUUCCUUGCUGUUUUGAGUUUUGGUGCCUCUUAGUGUUGCUUCUCUGUUGGUUGAGGUUGGGAUUUUGUUUCUUUGUUUUCUAUUGCUGCAAUUCUUCUAAGGACACUGGCGGUCGUUGUUUGUGUUGGUGGGUUACCAUUUGAUAAUCCUUUUGAAGGUUUCUUGAAGUUUGGACAGCAACCAUGUGGGCUGUUUCGAUAAAGAUUCACCUACUGUUUUGGUGUUUCCUUGCUAGGAUUGGCUUUGGAGAGGUUUUGUGCUGAUGUUUCCUUGCCGUUGGCUUUGGCGAGGGUUUGUUUUUGGUGUUUGAACCUUUGUUUAGGUGUUUCUGAAUUUGGUGUAGUACUGUUACUUUGCGUUUGAGCCUGAUGGAUCGCUAGACCUGUCGUAGUCUUCUAAGGAGAAUCUCAUCAAGGGGGAAUGUUGGAAUUUAUGAGAUUCCAUUCUCCAUUUUAAGAGGGAGGCUAUGCAAAAGUCCAUAUAAAUUUUAUUUAUUCAUAUUUAGAAGAUGAUAUGUAUUUCUGAUUAGUAUAGGUUUUCGAUUCCUAAUUAAUGUAGGAUUUAUAUUCCUAAUUAAAUGGGGUAAUUAUAGGAGAUUUGUUUAUAAAUAUGUAAUCUGAUGGAACUAAUGGAUUUGAGAGAAAUCUCUGUAUUUUUCAUAUCUGAAAUUCUUUGUACAUGCUUCUAUUUAUAUACAGGUGAUUUAUCCUAAAAUGAUUUAUCUCUCUAAAGAGAUAGAGGAAGAAGUAAAAUCCAAUUGACAGGUGUUGCUAGAAGGGCGCAUGGAGAAUGUGUUGUUAAUGGGAUGGAGGAGUAAAUUAAAAUUCAAUUAACUCAGAAAUGUAUGAAAUGGCAGCUGAGUGAGCUUAAUUGUUCAAUUACAAAGAAAAGAACAAUUUAACAAGGCAAAAGAUAAAUCCUAAAUCCCUUGUUGGUCAAAAAUUUCUCCCCAAGCUUUUUAACUAGACUAUUCUCUAAAACAGAAAGGUAAGCAUGCCAUCCUUAUGGAGUAGUCCCCCUUUUAUAGUUUUUCCUUCUGUCUCAUGCCCCUGUUCUCCUGUAAUUGACUGCCUCCAAUUCUGUUUCUGGAACCCUGUUUCUCCUCGAAUAAACCUUCCACACUUCCACCAGGGCAUCUGUUUUGGGCCUUGAUCCAUUCUCUUAUCAUUGUUAGUGGGUUCUUCUACCUAGAAUGCCAUCCCAAUAGGUUCCUGCCUGUGGAUUUUCUGUCCAUUAUUUCCCAAUCCUCCAUUUUUCUUUUGCGUGUCAUUCGAAAAUCAAUGGCAAGAACAAUAUAUAUCUGGCCAUCCUAUAUUUCACCAUUUCCCAAUAUUUAUUGUGGUCUCACCAAUAAUCAACAACGAAAUAUUAUAUGCAGAAAAGCAACAAAUGAAACAGAUUGGUACAUGUACAAGAUACGUGGAUAAGUAGUUUAGUUUCCAUGUGAGGCAAGUUAAAAUAUUGGAAUGGAUUGGUGCAAAUAUGGAUGAUGGAUAUCAUUAACGGGCCCACUGUAGAGUUUUUUUUUUUUUUUUUUUUUUUUUUUAAUAUUUUACUAAUGUUUAAAUGCUUGCUUUUUGAGGAUGGAAGGAUUCUUUGAUUAUGUGAGAGAAACCAAUAGGACAACUUAAUGAGGUUUUACAUAAGGAGAUAUCAGCUCUCGUAGUUUGACAAACCUCAAAGGGGAUAUUGUGAAUUACCCAUUUAAUAACUAAAUGAAAGAUAAUAGAGUUGAAAAUUGUAGAAAGAGAUGAUUCUCCUUAAUUUCAAUUAAUCUGUACAUGAGUAUAUAUAUACAAUUGAUUCCUAUAAUUGUGUUUUACUAAUUAGGAAGAAAUUCUAAAUAGGAAGAAAUUCUAAAUAGGAAUACAGGAUACAGAAUAUACAGAGAAAUAAUAUAGUAAUUGACUAUCUGUAACACUCCCCCUCAAGUUGGAGCAUAGAUGUUAAUCAUGCCCAACUUGUUACAAAUGUAGUCAAUCCUAGCUCCAUUCAGAGCUUUUGUGAAAAUAUCUCCUAACUGCUCUCCAA